ACACAAAUGAUAACAAAUGCGUAUAUAAAGCCAACAGUACUGACUGUUUUUGAGUCAAAAAAUGAAACUUUUACCAGUGUUACUAUCAUGUGUUGCACUUUGGGGACGUUUUUUAACCAUGGAGGCUAUGGAAUGCUACAAUUGCACUGGAACCGAGGAUUGUAACAAAGAUUCAGUGUUUGAUGACACUGUUACCUGUGAGGGUAUAUGCAUGUGGGGGACAAUGUACACUCCAAAUCAACCGCCCCUUCUUGGAGAGCGGUUCAUGGCUUGUUACGAAGGAACAGAGGACGAGGCAUACAAAUACUGUUAUAAUUUGCAACAAUUUCGUCAAGGGUUUUGUAAUACAUGCGACGACGAGGACCUUUGCAACUAUCAUUAAUUGCAAUUACAAAACGAAGCUUAACUACUGUCGUAACGCAACAAAAGUUGAAAUAAAAACACGAUUAUAACA